rnacentral:ncRNA from 1 species
CCCGAUAAAGGCAAACCCGGUGCAAGUCGGGGACGCAAAGCCACGGGGCCCUCCAGGGUCAGCCGGGUUACCGAAC